GAUGAAGAACGUAGCGAAAUGCGAUACGUAAUGUGAAUUGCAGAAUUCAGUGAAUCAUCGAAUCUUUGAACGCAUAUUGCGCUCUCUGGUAUUCCGGAGAGCAUGCUUGUUUGAGUAUCAGUAAACACCUCAACUUCCAUAUCUUUUUUUGAAAUGGGAGUUGGACUUGAGUGAUCCCAACGCUUUUCCUCACCGAAAAGUGGCGGGUUACUUGAAAUGCAGGUGCAGCUGGACUUUUCUCUGAGCUAUAAGCAUAUCUAUUUAGUCUGCCUAAAAAACAGAUUAUUACCUUUGCUGCAGCUAACAUAAAGGAGAUUAGUUCUUGUGCUGACUGAUGCAGGAUUCACAAAGACAGCUUCGGCCGACUUUGUAAACUCGAUCUCAAAUCAAGUAAGACUACCCGCUGAACUUAAGCAUAUAUAAGCGGAGGA
rnacentral:misc_RNA from 1 species